rnacentral:rRNA from 1 species
UACGUAGGGGGCAAGCGUUGUCCGGAAUUAUUGGGCGUAAAGCGCGCGCAGGCGGUCCUUUAAGUCUUGUGUUUAAGCCCGAGGCUCAACCUCGGUACGCAUGGGAAACUGGGGGACUGGAGUGCAGGAGAGGAAAGUGGAAUUCCACGUGUAGCGGUGAUAUGCGUAGAGAUGUGGAGGAACACCAGUGGCGAAGGCGACUUUCUGGCCUGUAACUGACGCUGAGGCGCGAAAGCGUGGGGAGC